AUGCUCUCCACAGCACCAGCCGCGUAUUCCACCUCCUUCGCCGCCUUUCCCACCCUCGCGCGGCGCCGGCACCGGCACCGCCGCGUUCUGCUACCGUUCGCCGCGGCGACUGACGGGGCGGAGCGGUUCGCCGCGAGCAGCUCCAUUGCGGAUUACCUCCGGUACCGCCGCCCGAUGUCCGGGGACCUCUCCGUGGGAGGGGGUGGCGGCAAGCUGCAGACGGCCGUGGUGCGGUACGAGAAGCGGUUUCCAUGGUCGCUCAUCCACCCUUUUCUCCGCGUUGAUUUGGUUUCUACUGUACACAUUGCUGACAAAGAAUAUUUCGAUAAACUCCAACAAGCACUUGAAGGCUAUGAUUGUGUUCUGUAUGAAAUGGUGAUAAGUCGGGAUAAUUUAAAUAACCAGCAGGACCCAACGUUUGCGAAGAAGCUGAGAUCUUCGCGCAAAGGUUUCAGUAUUCUUGGUUUCAUACAGAAACAAAUGGCUCGUAUCCUUUCAUUGGAUUACCAGCUAGAUUGCCUUGAUUACGGCGAUGAGAAAUGGCAACAUGCUGACCUUGACUAUGAGACAUUCAAGCUGCUUCAGGGGCACACGUUCGGUAAGCCAAAAGGUCAAAUGAAGACUGAAAGAGGUGAAAGCUUUCUCACAUUUGCAGUGGACAUGACCCUGAAAUCAACUAAAGCCUUGGUACAACCAACUUCUCCAGAUGGUCUUGAUUUCUGGAGAUCCAAGUUGCUAUGGGCCUCGCGUGUUCUACCAAUGCCACUUAUUGGACUAUUUGUUAUCACUGGGCUUUGUUUGCCAGUGGAUAAGCAAGAUGGAUAUCCCGAGCUGGAAGCAUUAUCCAAACUAGAUUUAGGAGCUGCUCUUAAGAUUUUUCUGGCUAAGCAAUUGACCUCCGAUUUCAAUGCUAUGACUGCACCUGCUGAGGAUAAGUCAGUUAUAAUUGGGGAAAGGAACAGAGUUGCAACUGAGAAGAUAAAGGGCGCGAUAAACCGAGGGUACAAGAGAAUAGCAGUUCUGUACGGAGGUGGGCAUAUGCCAGACCUUGGAAGACGUCUUCGAGAAGAGCUAAAUAUGGUCCCAUCCAAUGUGCAAUGGGUCACAGCAUGGUCAAUAAGAAGCCGGGAGCUAGAUAAAAAAUCGCUUCCAUUUUUGAAGACGAUGGCUGAGGUUUCAGGGUGGCCUUUGAAUAGAUAUGAAACACUUGCUUUGCUAAUCUUUUCUUCAGUUCUUGCAGUGGAUCUAUGGUUUUGGGAGUUUCUCGUGGAAAGCAGUCUGAAUUGGGCAUCUUUGGCUGGUUCCUGGAUUGAUCAAUGUAGUGCUCCAUUUUGA
rnacentral:rRNA from 1 species